rnacentral:lncRNA from 1 species
GAAGACUUCAAGAUAGCAAAAAUGUCAAUUUUUCCCCAAAAUGAUACACAAAUUUAACAUAACUCAUCAAAAUCACAGAAGGAUUCUUUGUACAUAAUGACAAAAUUAUCCAAAUUUACAUGAAAAGGCAAAGGAAUCAGAAUACCUAAAACAAUUCUGAGAAAAAACAAAAUGGGUGGACCACUAUACCCAAUUUCAAGUCAUACAUAAUCAAGACAGUGUUGUAUUGGCAGAGAGGUAGACACAUAGAUCAACAGAGAAUCUGAGCACAGACUGCCUGGAAUCUAGCUAGCUGCUGCUAAUGAAACACUGCGGGUAUGAUACCCACCUUGCCAAGUGCAAAGGAGCUGGGUAGGUUUACUACCACCUGCUACUCCCCAUUCCCUAUGUGAACUCUUUUGUGCAACAGAAGCAGCUGUACUCCUACCUGUAACAUCACCCCGGCAGCCAGAAAAGUGCCCGCUGAUCGCUACUGGGACCACUGCUUGCCCUACACACAGAAAGUCAGAGUGCACACUUACCUGACCCAGCCUCCACUUGGCUUUGCGCCUCUACCUGCCCUGGUAGCUUAACACAAACAAUAGAAACUUUUGGGAGCACUAUAGCACUGCCCAUUGCCUGAGACACCAGAGUACCUUCCCUGGGUAACAUAAAGCAAGCACAAAUCUCACCAGUACCACUGCAGCUGGCACUCUUUGGCAAGCACCACCUCCUAGCUGGAGGCCAACCAACACAGUCCAUUACAGCACGUCUAGGUAGAAUAACACAGUGCCAAGGAAGGGAGAAACCUGUGUGUGACUUCAGCUAUCACCAUUGCCUGUACCAUCCUGGCUAAGCAGGAGGUCCUGAGUCUGUCCAUGUGACCAGUUCGUAACUACUGCAACUGGCCUCUGAGAAAGCAAACACACUAAGGCUAUUUAUAACCAAGGAGUCUCAGAGCCUAUGUCACUCCCCUGCCACCCCCACCACAGCUGGCCCUGGGAGCCACUGCUGGAAAAUUUGAGGACAGCUCAUAUCACUGGAUUCCUUGCAGACAUUCCCCUGCACCAGCCUGGAGUGUGGCAGCCCCACUGGGUGGCUAGCCCCAGCAGAGCAUUCACAGUAGUCUGGCUCUCAGGGACUCCCACUACUGAAGGAAAGGGGAGUAUACCGUAUCAAGGGAGCAUCCCGUAUGACAAAAGAAUCCAGAUGGCAGGCCUUGAGUUCCAGAACCUUCAUUUGUGGGAAGCACAGGUGCGGUGCUGGGCUUAGCGUAGAAAGUCUGUAGCUCUACUUUGUCAGGCAGGACUGUGAUUCUUUAAAGACAUGAAAUUAACUCCAUAGUCACCCAGUUUUAUGCCUGGGGGCACUCUCCAAAACUGGACACAGAGAGUUAAGCUCAAAAAGAACAGUGGUCUUAAUGGGCACAGAAAGAUCACAAUUUAGGGCUGUUGAGAAAACUGAAUUGUGAUGCAGGGUACAGAAGUGGAAACUCCACUGAAAAAGAGCUCCAGAAAUCUGCACGAGGUGCCCAAGAACAGAACUUUCUGCAACUUGUAUCUGUGACAUCUAAUGUGGUAGCCACCAGUACCAUGUGCUACUAAGCACUUGAAAUGUGGCAAAUGCAAGUAAGAAACAAUAUUUUAAAUUAAUUUUAAAUAGCUACAACUUGUGACUACUGUAUCAGCCAUUAUAGCCCUAGAAGUUGGCUGAACAGUUGGCUGAACAGUAGGCUGCAAAUGUGCAGAGCAAAAUUCUGAGACAUGACAGAAGCCUAUGAGCUGAACAGAGUACAGAGGUGGCAAAAAUCAGACGUGGCUCUGACCAAGCAGAAUGGAGAGCCUUUGCUGAACCAUAUGGGCUUUCAGUUUAGACAAAGAAAGGCUACACUUAAGCUGGGCACAGUGGCUCACACCUGUAAUCCCAACACUUUGGGAGGCUGAGGUGGGUGGAUCACCCUGAGGUCAGGAAUUCGAGACAGCCCUGGCCAACAUGGUGAAAAUCUGUCUCUACUAAAAACACAAAAACUAGCCAGGCGUGGUGGCAAGCAACUGUAAUCCCAGCUACUCAGGAGGCUGACGCAGGAGAAUUGCUUGAACCCGGGAGGUGGAGGUUGCAGUGAGCCGAGAUCACACCAUCGCACUCCAGCCCAGGCAACAAGAGUGAAACUCUGCCUCAAAAAAAAAAAAAAAGAAAAGAAAAGAAAAAAGAAAAUAAAGAAAAAAUAUUGCUAAAGCUUUGGAAAAGAACUGUUGGAAUCUGUGGCCUCCUUGAGUGAGGUCUCACCCACCCCUAGGUUGAUUGGUAAAAACUACAGUUUUGUCUGGCUGUAGCUAACUGAAAAACUAGCAACUUUGCCGUAAGAGGAGUCUUGAUUUACAGCAGAGGUAUAAACCUACAACUUUGUAAGUCAAAAGUAAAAAAAUCACUUAGGAAUGGACAAGGAGUAUCUGUAGUUGCUAACCAAAGGUUACAGUCCUAGUUCUUGAAGAGCAACAGAGCAGCCAGACAUUUAACAAGGUCCUGGAAACAGAAGGGCAGAAAAGGGUAACAUGAGCUCUCCAAACAUCUUUGGCAAACUGAAAUGAUGCAUGCACAGGGGAGACUCAAGAGAGCAUGGCAAAUGUAAAAACCAAGGGGAAUUUGGGAACUGCCUCCUACAAUGAAUGCAUCCCCCAUCCCACACAGAACAACCAACAGUGGGUGGAAGGCUUAUAGACUCAAGUGUUUGAUCUUAACCUUUGUCCAAAUGAUUGGCUGACUGCUAAGCUAUGCAGACACAGGAACUACCCCUAGCAAGCAAGAAUAAAUAUUGAAAUAAAGAACUUAAAAACUGAGCACAGACAGCAAUAACUUCACAUCAUAUAUAAGAUAGAUUCCACAAUUUGAGUCCAGUCAAAAUGCUAAAUUUAAAACAAUACAAAUCCCUUAGAUAUAAAACAAAAUUGAGUUGCUACAAUAUGCUACCUAAAAUGUCCAGCUGUCAACCAAAAAUUAUUAGACAUGUAAAAACAUAUGAAAGUGAAAUAUACUAAAGGAAAAAAAGCAUUCAGUGAAAACUAAAUCUGUAUGGGCCCAGAUACUUGAUUAGUCAAGCCUUCAAUAAGACUUCAUAACAAAUAUAUUCAAAGAAAUAAAAGUAAAAAAAAAAUUAAAAAUGACUCAAUAAAAGAGAAAUCACAAUAGAAAAUUAUAAAGUAUAAAAAAAGAGCCAUCACACUUCAUUCUUCCUAAGUCCUACACCAGAGUUGCUUUAAAUGUGUGUAUUUAAUGGUUAAAUAAGACCUGAAAAGGGAGUUGGCCUAAAAAUAUUUUUACCGUAAAACAUCAAUUUCUUCAGAGUUAAUGAGAAUUAUAUGCUAACCAUACCAAAAACCUUGAUUAGAAUUUUUAGCUUAGAUGUAUUGAUUGAUAUUAAAAAGGGAAAGUUGAGGCCACAUACAGAAAGCAAUGGCGAAGGACACUGCCUCCAACAGAAAAUAUGAACCAAAAAG